rnacentral:rRNA from 1 species
AGAUUGAACGCUGGCGGCAGGCCUAACACAUGCAAGUCGAGCGGUAGAGAGGUGCUUGCAUCUCUUGAGAGCGGCGGACGGGUGAGUAAUGCCUAGGAAUCUGCCUAGUGGUGGGGGAUAACGUUCGGAAACGGACGCUAAUACCGCAUACGUCCUACGGGAGAAAGCGGGGGACCUUCGGGCCUCGCGCCAUUAGAUGAGCCUAGGUCGGAUUAGCUAGUUGGUGAGGUAAUGGCUCACCAAGGCGACGAUCCGUAACUGGUCUGAGAGGAUGAUCAGUCACACUGGAACUGAGACACGGUCCAGACUCCUACGGGAGCAGCAGUGGGGAAUAUUGGACAAGUGGGCGAAAGCC